AACCGCUCCUUCUUUUCCGUCGGCGGCGUGUGGAGCGUGCGAUAUUUACUAGAGCUUGUAUCGGCGGGCCAGGCGGAUCCCACGGAGCUAGGGCGGGUAGCGAGGACCUCGCUGCUGCGCCGCGGCCUUACAGGUCGAUGGCCGCCGCCGAGCAGAGCGGAGCCCAACGGCUGCCGGGGCGUCGCCACGCAGCGCCCGGCGUGCAGGCCGCAACGAGUGUGCGCAUGCGCGGCCCGGCUGCGUCUCCGGGCAGAAUGGUGACUUGAGCUGCAAGCCUGGGCACUUGAGUAUAUCAGAGGAGUAAGACUUCUACACAGCAUGGAGAACGAGCUCAUGAGACAGAGCUGAAGCUUUUUCCAAUGGAUUUGAGGUGAUGCCUCCAAGAGGAAGCAGCUCUCUGGCAGUGGAAAUCCUUAGAGGUGUUCAGUGCAAGCCUCUUCAUCUGAGACAGAAGAAUUCCCUGAGUAUCAAUCCAAGUGAGCCUGUGGAUUGAUUUUUGGGGUUUUGUUUGUUUGACAAUAAGUACUUCUGAAUGUUUCUGAUCACUCUAAAAUACCUUUUUUUAAAAUGCAUUGUAUCCACCUGAAGCAUACUUUUUUUGGCUUCACAAAUAUUUACCUAUUAAAAUUCUCAUUUUGCUCUA